rnacentral:rRNA from 1 species
GACGAACGCUGGCGGCGUGCCUAACACAUGCAAGUUGAGCGACGAACCAGGGCUUGCCCUGGGGCAAAGCAGCGAACGGGUGAGUAACACGUGGGUAACCUGCCCCGAUGAUCGGGACAACCCGAGGAAACUCGGGCUAAUACCGAAUGUGCUCGCCGGACACCAGUCCGGCGCGUAAAGGAAGCUUCGGCCUCCGCAUCGGGAGGGGCCCGCGGCCCAUUAGCUUGUUGGUGAGGUAACGGCUCACCAAGGCAACGAUGGGUAGUUGGGCUGAGAGGACGAUCAGCCACACUGGGACUGAGACACGGCCCAGACUCCUACGGGAGGCAGCAGUGGGGAAUCUUGCGCAAUGCGCGAAAGCGUGACUCAGCAACGCCGCGUGGGGGAAGAAGGCCUUCGGGUUGUAAACCCCUUUCAGGAGGGACGAAGGUUCGGCGGUGAAUAGCCGUCCGGACUGACGGUACCUCCACAAGAAGCCCCGGCUAACUACGUGCCAGCCGCCGCUGUAAUAC